CGCGUAGGCGGUUUGUACAGUCAGGUGUGAAAUUCCCGGGCUCAACCUGGGGGCUGCACUUGAUACGUAUGGACUUGAGUGAGGAAGAGGGUCGUGGAAUUCCCAGUGUAGAGGUGAAAUUCGUAGAUAUUGGGAAGAACACCGGUGGCGAAGGCGGCGACCUGGUCCUUGACUGACGCUGAGGCGCGAAAGCGUGGGGAGCAAACA
rnacentral:rRNA from 1 species